AACUUUCAACAAUGGAUCUCUUGUCUCUCGCAUCGAUGAAGAACGCAGCGAAAUGCGAUACGUAAUGUGAAUUGCAGAAUUCAGUGAAUCAUCGAAUCUUUGAACGCAUAUUGCGCUCUCUGGUAUUCCGGAGAGCAUGCUUGUUUGAGUAUCAGUAAACACCUCAACUCCCCUUUCUUUUUUGAAAUGGGAGCUGGACUUGAGUGAUCCCAACGCUUUUCUAACCGAAAAGCUGCGGUCUACUUGAAAUGUAGGUGCAGCUGGACUUUUCUCUGAGCUAUUAGCAUAUCUCUUUAGUCUUCCUAAAAAACAGAUUAUUACCUUUGAUGCAGCUUAAAUAAAGGAGAUUAGUUUUUGUGCUGACUGAUGUAGGAUUUACAGAGACAGCUUCUGUUGGCCUUUGUAAUCUCGAUGUCAAAUCAAGUAAGACUUCCCGCUAAAUUUAAGCAUAUGAUGAAUUGGAGGCU
rnacentral:misc_RNA from 1 species